rnacentral:rRNA from 1 species
UACGUAGGGAGCAAGCGUUAUCCGGAUUUAUUGGGUGUAAAGGGUGUGUAGACGGGAAGGCAAGUUGGUUGUGAAAUCCCUCGGCUUAACUGAGGAACUGCAACCAAAACUAUCUUUCUUGAGUGCUGGAGAGGAAAGUGGAAUUCCUAGUGUAGCGGUGAAAUGCGUAGAUAUUAGGAGGAACACCAGUGGCGAAGGCGACUUUCUGGACAGUAACUGACGUUGAGGCACGAAAGUGUGGGGAGCAAACAGG